rnacentral:rRNA from 1 species
AGAGUUUGAUCCUGGCUCAGGAUGAACGCUGGCGGCGUGCUUAACACAUGCAAGUCGAACGAACCUUCGGGUUAGUGGCGGACGGGUGAGUAACGCGUGAGAAUCUGCCCUCAGGAGGGGGAUAACGGCUGGAAACGGCCGCUAAUACCCCAUAUGCCGAGAGGUGAAACGAGUUUUCGCCUGAGGAUGAGCUCGCGUCUGAUUAGCUAGUUGGUGAGGUAAUGGCUCACCAAGGCAUCGAUCAGUAGCUGGUCUGAGAGGAUGAUCAGCCACACUGGGACUGAGACACGGCCCAGACUCCUACGGGAGGCAGCAGUGGGGAAUUUUCCGCAAUGGGCGAAAGCCUGACGGAGCAACGCCGCGUGAGGGAUGAAGGCCUCUGGGCUGUAAACCUCUUUUCUCAAGGAAGAAGACCUGACGGUACUUGAGGAAUAAGCCACGGCUAAUUCCGUGCCAGCAGCCGCGGUAAUACGGGAGUGGCAAGCGUUAUCCGGAAUUAUUGGGCGUAAAGCGUCCGCAGGCGGCCUUUUAAGUCUGUUGUCAAAGCGUGGAGCUUAACUCCAUUUCGGCAAUGGAAACUGGGAGGCUUGAGUGUGGUAGGGGCAGAGGGAAUUCCCGGUGUAGCGGUGAAAUGCGUAGAUAUCGGGAAGAACACCAGUGGCGAAGGCGCUCUGCUGGGCCAUAACUGACGCUCAUGGACGAAAGCCAGGGGAGCGAAAGGGAUUAGAUACCCCUGUAGUCCUGGCCGUAAACGAUGAACACUAGGUGUCGGGGGAAUCGACCCCCUCGGUGUCGUAGCCAACGCGUUAAGUGUUCCGCCUGGGGAGUACGCACGCAAGUGUGAAACUCAAAGGAAUUGACGGGGGCCCGCACAAGCGGUGGAGUAUGUGGUUUAAUUCGAUGCAACGCGAAGAACCUUACCAGGGUUUGACAUCCUGCGAAUCCCUUGGAAACUAGGGAGUGCCUUCGGGAGCGCAGAGACAGGUGGUGCAUGGCUGUCGUCAGCUCGUGUCGUGAGAUGUUGGGUUAAGUCCCGCAACGAGCGCAACCCACGUCUUUAGUUGCCAGCACUGAGUUGGGCACUCUAGAGAGACCGCCGGUGAUAAACCGGAGGAAGGUGUGGAUGACGUCAAGUCAUCAUGCCCCUUACAUCCUGGGCUACACACGUACUACAAUGCUACGGACAAAGGGCAGCAAACUCGCGAGAGCUAGCAAAUCCCAUAAACCGUGGCUCAGUUCAGAUCGUAGGCUGCAACUCGCCUACGUGAAGGAGGAAUCGCUAGUAAUCGCAGGUCAGCAUACUGCGGUGAAUACGUUCCCGGGCCUUGUACACACCGCCCGUCACACCAUGGAAGUUGGCCACGCCCGAAGCCGUUACUCCAACCCUUGUGGAGGAGGACGUCGAAGGUGGGGCUGAUACGC